rnacentral:lncRNA from 14 species
ACAAAUAACAACAGAAGAAAACAAACAAACACAAUGAAGUUCCACAUGGGAGAAAAAGAGACCCGACCUUAGUAAAUUUCUGGAUCUUCCUCUUGGCACCAUAUGUCUAUUUGAGAAGUAGAGGGCUUCUAAGAUCCC